CGCGACGUAUUCGUGGUGCAUUCGACCACAUCAGCCGCUCAUUUUCCUCCUCCUUUCCAUACCACAUCCUUGGCGUCUUUCUGUCUCGCCCAAAUACGCAAAUUGGACGGACGUCAGUCUGUGAGCGACGUCGACAAUGAACGAGAUUCCACUCACAGCGGAGGAGCUGCAGAACAUCCGCGAGUCCACGGCGCUCACGGACGCGCAAGUGCAGCGGCUGUACAAGAGCUUUUCCAAGCUGAACAAGGACAAGUCUGGCAAGAUCACUCGAGCGGAGUUCAACUCGAUCCCUGCACUAGCCUCCAACCCACUCGUCGACAGGGUGCUGGCGGUGAUGGACACGGACGGCGACUCCACGGUGGACUUUGGGGACUUUGUGCGGGCACUAGCGGUGCUCUCCUCGGCGACCUCGAAGGAAGAUAAGCUGCGGUUCACGUUCAAGAUGUACGACAUCGACGGUGACGGCCGCAUAAGCAACAAGGACCUCUUUCAAAUGCUCAGCAUCAUGGUUGGGGUGAACCUCUCCCAGAUGCAGCUGCAGCAGAUUGUGGACAAGACAUUCAUCGAGGCGGAUGCUGAUCGGGACGGCUACAUUACGUUUGAGGAGUUUGAGGCGCUGGCCGUAAACAGCGACUUUGGCGAUCGGCUGAACCUGCACUUUUAGCGCCUCUCCCUCUCUCCCCCUCUCCCCCUCUCUCUCCUACUCGCCCUCCCACUUCUUGAUGUGACUGCUGCUUUGACUCUACUCUCGCUCGCUUGCUCUCGGCAUUGGCUGCGCUGUUAGGCUAAACGACAAUAGAUUUGGCGAUCGCCCCAUCGACGCGCUCCUCCCCCACCCCUCAACUUCCUCCGCUACUCCUCUUCGUGCGUGCAUCCCUCAUUGCCAUUAUUCGCGUGCUAAUCAUGCUUGCACAUCGAAAAACAUUAAGAGCCAGAGCAACUGGCACACAAGUGACACGCGCACGCGCAUCGCGAGAUGUGAUACAGUGCGUACUCCUAGUUGUGUCGUUGCCCAUUGUGCAUACGGCAGGCGGGGGGGGAGGAAAGAAUUGCGCUGCCACAGUUACGCUUUUCUGCAUGUGCGUAAGUGUCGUCGUUGCGUGCGAGUAACGGACAUGACUGGAAACGUCCUGCACGCCCUUCACCCGUUCCGCCCUUCUGCCCCCUAGCGGCAAGGACGGGACGCCAAAGCACUGACUCAUGCGCACACGUAGGGAACCCCCCCUCUCCCCUCUGUCGCUGCCACCCUGUGCGGGUCUGAUCUCGCGUAUUCGCCGGCACUGCAUCGUCCAUCCUGUUCAUCCUUUCCCUCCCCACUUUCUCACUGAUGUCGCACUGUAUGGCAUGCCCUGCCCAUCUCUUACCCCGCAACUCCACUACCGUCGUGCUUACACGCCACGCACACACGUCACACGCGCUAUGAUGUGGACCACUUCCCCCACUGUCAUUUGUUACGUCGCGGGGAAAAAG
rnacentral:misc_RNA from 1 species